rnacentral:rRNA from 1 species
GAUGAGUGCUGGCGGCGUGCCUAACACAUGCAAGUCGAGCGGCAGCGCGGUCUUCGGACUGGCGGCGAGCGGCGGACGGCUGAGUAACGCGUGGGAACAUGCCCCAAAGUGAGGGAUAACCGCCCGAAAGGGUGGCUAAUACCGCAUACGAUCUUCGGAUUAAAGGAUUUAUCCGCUUUGGGAGUGGCCUGCGUACGAUUAGAUUGUUGGUGAGGUAAUGGCUCACCAAGUCGACGAUCGUUAACUGGUCUGAGAGGAUGAUCAGUCAGACUGGAACUGAGACACGGUCCAGACUCCUACGGGAGGCAGCAGUGAGGAAUCUUCCACAAUGGGCGAAAGCCUGACGGAGCAACGCCGCGUGCAGGAUGAAGGCCUUCGGGUCGUAAACUGCUUUUAUAAGUGAAGAAUAUGACGGUAACUUAUGAAUAAGCACCGGCUAACUACGUGCCAGCCGCCGCGGUAA